UGGCGUCUCAUCAGGAUCUAAACUGUUUGCUAUUCUGAUAGUAUUCUUUGAAAAAAAAGAAAGAAAAUGCUAAUUUUAGAAAUUCAGCAGAAGACAUUUUAGCAGACGACAAAUUUCCCAGCAUGCAAAGGGUUAAGAGAGAGGCUCUUGAACAUGUGCAUCUUUGAGAUAAGUCUGGGGAACAAGUCACGGGCGUAGGUACAUGUAGCUGCAUAUACCUUGUAGCCCGCGACGUAAUUUGGACAAUGCAAUUUUAUCAAUAAAUAAUGCUUGUAAUUUAUUAAAAUCUGAGUCGGCAAGGGGUAGGGAUCAGUUAUAAACUCGGAUAUUAUGUACAUAGUAACGAUAAGAAUGGGUAGAAGGAAGAUCACUUAAAAACCGAGAAUGAAUACCUGUCUUUUGAUUAUUGCGGGAAUACUGUGUGUAAUCGGAGUAUCAGACUAACUCCAGGACUCCGGGGGUCACUGGUUCGUGCUCUGAAUGGCUGUACUGCUACAUUUGUCAAUAUAUCACUGACCAGCAGGCGUGUGCAAACACAGUUCAGUGUUCAAACAAUGAGAUUCGUGUCAUUUGAUUUAUUAACAAGAUUAUCUUAAUACACGCUCUGCAGUUCCGAUGCCGUUGAUCCCAACGGUAUCAUUGGUCGCUCUAUCCAGACUAGACGGCGGUACUCUUGUCAUGAAUGUUGCAGCAGUAACCGAUGCAAUGCGCAGCUAUGUGUUCACACUAAACCAACAUCGUGCAUUGAUGACGAAACACUGGACUCUGCCCGUCUGAACUCUCUUUUCCACGUCUGUGCAGAUGUUCAUCACGCCAAAAUCACUUGUCCAAAGUUUUGCGGACUCUGUAACCUCGUUGAUGGCAAUUGGGCAGUAUGGGAU